rnacentral:rRNA from 1 species
GGGUGCGAUCAUACUAACAUUUAUAUGAAUAGAUUCCAUCAGAACUCCGGAAUUAAGCGUGCAUGGGCGAGAGUAGUACUAGGAUGGGUGAUCUCCUGGGAAGUCCUCGUGUUACAAACC